rnacentral:rRNA from 1 species
UACGGGGGGGGCAAGCGUUGUUCGGAAUUAUUGGGCGUAAAGAGCUCGUAGGCGGUUUGUCGCGUCUGCUGUGAAAACCCGAGGCUCAACCUCGGGCCUGCAGUGGGUACGGGCAGACUAGAGUGCGGUAGGGGAGAUUGGAAUUCCAGGUGUAGCGGUGAAAUGCGUAGAUAUCUGGAGGAACACCGGUGGCGAAGGCGGCAUCCUGGACCGGCAUUGACGCUGAGGAGCGAAAGCCAGGGGAGCAAACGGG